UACGUAGGGUGCGAGCGUUGUCCGGAUUUAUUGGGCGUAAAGAGCUCGUAGGCGGCUCAGUAAGUCGGGUGUGAAACCUCCAGGCUCAACCUGGAGACGCCACCCGAUACUGCUGUGGCUAGAGUCCAGUAGGGGAGCGUGGAAUUCCUGGUGUAGCGGUGAAAUGCGCAGAUAUCAGGAGGAACACCAGCGGCGAAGGCGGCGCUCUGGGCUGGAACUGACGCUGAGGAGCGAAAGCGUGGGGAGCGAACAGG
rnacentral:rRNA from 1 species